GAUGAACGCUGACAGAAUGCUUAACACAUGCAAGUCUACUUGAAUUUGGGUUUUUUAACUUCGAUUUGGGUGGCGGACGGGUGAGUAACGCGUAAAGAACUUGCCUCACAGCUAGGGACAACAUUUGGAAACGAAUGCUAAUACCUGAUAUUAUGAUUAUAAGGCAUCUUAGAAUUAUGAAAGCUAUAUGCGCUGUGAGAGAGCUUUGCGUCCCAUUAGCUAGUUGGAGAGGUAACGGCUCACCAAGGCGAUGAUGGGUAGCCGGCCUGAGAGGGUGAACGGCCACAAGGGGACUGAGACACGGCCCUUACUCCUACGGGAGGCAGCAGUGGGGAAUAUUGGACAAUGGACCAAGAGUCUGAUCCAGCAAUUCUGUGUGCACGAUGACGUUUUUCGGAAUGUAAAGUGAUUUCAGUUGGGAAGAAAAAAAUGACGGUACCAACAGAAGAAGUGACGGCUAAAUACGUG
rnacentral:rRNA from 1 species